GUUAAAAAUAUUCACAGAAAAAAUGAUAAGACACAGAUCACGAGACAAUCAUCAAAAGGCCCAAUUAAAAGAAAAAAAAAGGGGAAAUUUUUAUAAAAAGCCGAGAAGAGAGGACUAGUGGGAUUAUAAGGGACCUGAGCUAAGCCUAAUGAGCUCUUUACUAUUGGGAGAGAAGGAGAAAUUCUUAGGUAGCGCUUUAAAUUUUGGCCACUCUGUUCUCUGUGUGUAAUUGUUGAAGGACCUCACAAUAAAUACAAUACGAUGCAUUGACUCCAUUACAGUCACAGAUUCACACCCUUCAGCGACCCUUCUCUAUUUCUUGAGGUUCUUGGCCUUGAUUGCUUCGCUAGUAUGUGAAAGAAGCUAUCAUUUUCUUGAUUCUCCGAUGGGUUGUUGUGUAAGCACUCAUGGCCAUGGAACUUCAACAAAGAGCCAGAAUUUUCAAGUGGGAUCUGAGUCUUUGAAACCCAAGUCAACUCGUGAAAGUAGAGCUCCUUCCCCUUCUGUUGAAGAAGAAACAGUCAAAGAAGUCCUU
rnacentral:misc_RNA from 1 species